rnacentral:tRNA from 1 species
UAGUGGGUGGCGAAAUUGGUAAACGCACUAGAAUAAAACACCUUGAUUGACCCUUGCCUGUAAAGGCCGACAAAUUGAGGUUUAUCGGGAUCUGGCGACGAAAGUCUUGCAGGUUCAACUCCUGCCUCACUAC